rnacentral:lncRNA from 1 species
AAUUAUAUAUGCAUGUUCUCUAUUUGACUCUAUUUUCACCUUGUGAUACCAAUUUUGAUAGGAAGCUAGGAGAUAUUGUGGAUAUUUUGAAUGGGUUGAAUUGCCUCCCAAUAAAAAUGAAACAACAAGUGCGAUGAAUAGGUUCAAGUGAGCUUACUGAUGGAUCAUAAUACAAAACUUAAGGAGAAGUUGAAAAUUUUGAGAAGGGCUUAAAAAGGAAAUGGAAGUUAAUAGACUUAAAGUGGGAAACUCAAAACUCAUUAUAUGUAGUGUAUUGUCAUGGACUGUCGCUUUGGUUGAAAUUUUUUAAUGAAUUUGCAUGAUGUAAUGGUAGUUAAUUGAUUGUAAUGGGUGAUGGUUUAAGAAAAUUGAUCAAUUAUGCAUUUUCAUUAUCAUGGAUUGUAAUUGUGACGCCCCCAAAUUCGAGUAUCUUUCAACCCAACAGAUGGUGCUCCACGGUACUACAGUUCACAUAAACAUUCAAUUGAAAUGCCUCAAAAGAACGAAUAUGUCUUAUAUAUAUUCCAAAAUAAUAUUUCCAUUCAUGUCUUCGUUUUAACUCGU